AGGAGGCGGCGGGGGAAAGCCAGGCAAGCGGAGGAGGCGGCGGCGGCGGCGGGCCCGGCCGGAGCCGCCGACUCACCCCGAGAAGGCGGCGGGCCCGGCAGGGGAAGGCCAGGGAAGACGGCGACGGCGGCCCGGCGAGGCGAGUGGCCGCCCCGAAGAAGCGAAGCCUGCAGGAGGCGGUGGACGGAUUUGUCACUGAGCAGAAGGAUGAGGACCAUAUCUCUACGGAAUGGAACUGAUGCCUGUCAUGACUCUGAACAGUCCAGUCACAUACCACGAGCCUCCCGCAGUGGUUCUUAUUCUUGCCCAACAGCUGCCUUCCUUCUAGCACCCAGCCUCACGGGUCAUGGGAUCAACUUAUCUAUUGAUCUGAUCUUGGUGUUCAUUCCCUGCCUGCAAGGCAAAGGAGACUUCCAGGUGCUUGAAGAGAACCUCAAGAUAUGGAGUUCAGCAGGACAGCUGUCCACGCUCAGGAAAAGCCGGCCAAAAAAGCAAAAUAUGAGAGUUCUUCCUUCAAAUAGGAGAGGCAGUUUGUCUUUGCUGUGGACCUUGAGUGGGUUGGAGCUCUGUUUGAAUUCUGGUCUUCACCCCCACUCAAGGGAUGAGAGAGGUAUGUUGUUUAAAUCAGCUGCUGAAAACUGACUUCUUUCUUGGGGACAUUAUUAAUAAUCUAAAACCAAAGUUGUUUUUCAAAAGGGAGAGUAUUCACAUUUAUGAAUGGUUAUACAAAAUGCUUGACUGUAAGAUUAUAUAAUCCUGCUGGUUACACUGAGGCUGAACAUUUCCUGCCUUAGCUUUUUCACAAAGUGGCUCAGAAACUAGAAUGUGAUAGGAGUAGCAAAGGAUGAAUCGGCGUGUCACAUGCCGAGGACCCUGUAGAAGCAGGAAGUUCAGUUAAAAAACAGAUCCUACGGUGCUGAAAGGCCAUCAUCAUCUCACACUAAGUGGGAGGAGGUAAUGGUAAACCCCUCCUGUAUUCUACCAAAGAAAACCACAGGGCUCCGUGUGGGGCCAGGAGUCGAAAUUGACUCAAUGGCACAUUUUACCUUUACCUUACUUUGCCCAGUUAGCAGGAAGAUAAUUAUCAAUGAUAAUGGUAAUCAUUAUCAGCUGCAAGUGUCUAUGAAGCAACAGAUACAGAGUCUACUUCUUAUGCAGAUCAGUUUGUGCAAUGCAGGUUUAAUAAAGUUCAGUGAUACGUACUCCCACAUAAGCAUCCACACAGCAUUGUAUCUGUAGGUGAAGACAAUUAUAGCAUUUUAAAGCCAUUGUGAGAGCACUGGACAGUGCCAGGAAUCCCCUCCCUGGUGGAAUGAGUGGGGUAUGAGUUGUGGCUCAGAGAGGGCCAAGAGGCAGCCCGCAGCCACUGCCAGCAGGCCUCCUUGUCACACAUCCACCUGUGCUUCCACUCUCUCCAUCACACACUUCUGAUUGGAUGUUUGCUUGGCCAGGCUAGGCACUUGGCUCUCUUUUCUUGUGCCACUUUUAGCCCCUUUGGCGGCACAUGAGAGCAGAGAGAGUGUGAAGUUACCAGUCAUGGCUGUAUUGCAAGGCAUAGAAAGUGGCAGGAGCAGGUGUCCACCUGCAAUGGAGCUCAGUGACAGGAUUGACAACAGUGGAGGUUAGAGAAUGGACACGUACUGUGGGGAAUGGGACCUAAAGGGCCAAACCGGGGGGGGGGGAAUGCUGGGAGGUAGGAGCAAGGAGAAGCUGGAGAUGAUGAGAAAAAGGAGGAGGUGCUGAAGCAUCAAGGGGGUGAUGCAUCUCGAGGACUAAAUUUGGACCUAGGUUCAUCAUUCUAACAAGCACAGCUGGUGGACAAACUAGCAGUCGAAAGGGAAAAUGAGGUUUUAAAAUUAUUAUUAUAGCAUGCUUUUCUCAUAAAGACCAAAUAUAAUAAGCAAUGUAAGUCAGGAAUUUCUGCUUAAAUUUUAUUCAUACUACACCAGCUUCUUCUUUACCAGCUUGAGUUAGUUACUCCAAAAAUGUAUUUAAAUUAGAGCAUAUUCCAGUGUGAAAGGUAGUGCAUUCAGCUAAUUUGUGACAAGAUUGUGUAUGCAAAAUUUGGUAUCUGUAAGCCAUUGGAAAGUAUGGUUUUAUUUCACCGAAAUUCUUCAAAAUAUAUAAUAAACACAUUGUACAUUGAA